UUCUUUUAAGGAUCUGAUUAUAGUAAACUGGCUUAUCAGUAUAAAAACCUUUCAUGUCUAGCUAUUCAGGAUUUAUUAUCUAAAUGACUUGUUUGGAAGUUUUCUUACAAGGAUAUAAGAACAAGUUUUUAUAGGAAAGUUAUAAAUCAAUACUUUUGUCUCUCAGCAAGAAGAAGUGUAUGAAUAUUGCCUACGACUUUUUAAAACCAGCUGUGAACAUGAUCCGUCACUUGAUGUUGUGGCAUACAUUUUUGAAGUUUGGGUACCAGAGGCAAUCAUAAAGGCAAUGUCUCGGGAACAAGGACUACAACUUGAAGAGGCUGAAAAGAUUUUCAACUGUUAUGCCAUUUAGAAAGAUCGAGUUUGCACAGGCAAGUAGAAGAGAAAUCUAGUAAAGUACUUGUCAGGAACAGUAGAUACUAAACCUUGAAGCUAUAAGAUCAAUGGAAUUUGAAGUCAUUGGGCUAGCUAGAUAGUUUCAGGUCCCACACUUUUUUAAUGUACUCAGAUUGGAUUCUGUAUGGUUUAAUUGUAAAAUAACCAAUUUAUUUUAACCUUUUGUGAUUUGAAGUGUCAUCAUUAUUAUAUAAGUGUUGCUAAAUGUACAUUUAUUUUAAAGAAAUAAGAAUUACGAUUCCUCAAAAGCUGUGAAAUUAAGUAUACGUUCAAAAAUUUAGAAAAAAGAAAGAACUUGGUUUCAGCCCAGCUACAUAAUUUAGAUGUGUGUGUGAUGUUUUAGUCAUUGGACUCUGUGUACGUCAGUAAUGUGCUGUAGUGACAGUUUAUACACAAGGAAACUGCCCCUCUGUAAGAAAUUCACUUCAUUUAUGUCUGAGCUUUUUAGUAGUGUACAGUUUUGCCUAAAUUUGUAUUAGACCUUUGGGAUAUCAUAAACUUUCAAAUGUAUGUUCUAUUGUAAAUUUUAUCCACAUUUAGGAUGGCUGUAGUUAGUAAAUAAACUCUGAAAAGCUAUUUAUCGUGCUAUACGUAUACUGACAACUUGAUCUGGUAACCAUUAGUUCAAGUCUAAUUGAAUGAACAGGUAGAAGAAGUUUGAUCUCUGCAGUGUCAAGUAUUUACACAAAACAGAGAUUCAUGUACCUGUUGUUCUUUUUUACUAAACAUCUUGCUAAAAGUUUAUUGGCUGGAACAUAUAACUAGCUUUCUUUAUCAAAAUUAGAGGUUUAUUACAGAGAGACAAAAUUUAAUGUUAAUGACAAUAGUAUACAUACAAUCUGUCUCGCCAUCCUAGGUUAGAUACUUCAUGAUUUAAUAAUAAUUUAUGUGUGAAUGUAUACAUUUACAAGUUUUCUAUAAUUAGACAUUUCUUUGCAUCACAUGUUUUGUUUAUGAGGUGUCUUAACUAAAUGUAGUGUCUGUCACAUACACUUUCAGAAUAAACUCAUUAUGGACUCUUGAGCAAAAUCUUUGUAAUUUGUUUCAGGUUAUGCUUUAUAAUCAUAAUUACACUGUAUACAAUAUAUGCAGAGAAGCAGGAUAUAUUAAAACACCAGAGUUUAUUUAUGAACAUAAAAAGGUUUUAUUAAUGACAAGGCCCCCCCCAGUGGCACAGCGGUAUGUCUGCGGACUUACAACGCAAGAAACCGGGUUUCAAUACCCGUGGUGGGCAGAGCACAGAUAGCCCUUGUGUAGCUUUGUGCAUAGUUAAAACAAACAAACAAUUAAUGACAGGACUCUUGGGUUUUGUUACUCAGUAACUGUAGUUAAUUAGUUUAUGUACAAACACCGAAUGACUGUGUAAACUGUUUGCAAAUAAGCUUUCUUUCAGGCCAGUGCUCAUUACAUCUUAACCCUAGUAGGUUCAGAUACCUAUUCAAAACAUUAAGAAAUUCUUAUUUUAUGAUAAACGUGUCUACGCCAAGAAUUGACGAAGGCUCGUAUGGAAAUGUCCCAUUUACUUGUUGCUUAGAGAUCUUUUUUUUUAUAUUUUGAAUGUUGUUUGAUGUCAUCCAUUUAAAACUAGUUUUCUUUUUAUAGCUGUUAAUGUGUAAUGAUUUUACACAUACGUUCAUCAAGGAAUCUCACUUUUUCUUUACAAUUAUACUUUUCCCUGCAUUAAGUUCUCAAGAUAUCAUGAAUUACCUAAAGGAAGUUAUUUACUCAACACUUUUAUGAAUAGCUCUGUAAUACCUAUCUUUUAUUCACUCACUAAUGUACAGUCUGAAAUAAAAGUGCAGGUUCUAAAGAUGAAAUUUUGUGGUGAGAUUGCCUCAGUCUGAGCUUGAUUUACUUAUUUUUAUACUAGUAAACAAGUACCUUGUUAGUAAGUUACAAAAACUUAAAUUUCAUUAAUAAUAGUAACUCAGACAAACCAAUCUGUACCAUUGUGAGGUUCGGUUUCCUAACUACCAAUAAUAGUGCACAUACAGAUAACAACCAUUUGAUUACAAUACGGGGAUGAAAAGUGAAUUAAAAAUUGCUGUAAUACCCAGGUACUAGUGAAUUUUUUUUACUACUAAAUUACUAUUGUAUUUGUUAACAAAAAGCAAGUACCCAAAGAAAGCACCAUUCUAGGGUUUUUCAGAGUGUUAAGUUUACAGUUUUUCACAAAAUACAUAAAAAGCCAGAAUAACAGUUCUAUUGUACCCGAGCAAGGAAACAUUAUAAUAUAAUAAUGACUUGGAAAACAAUGAUUUAAAAGUAUAAUGUAAUGAUUUAUUUUGGGGGAACCUACUACUUUUUUUCGACAGAACACUGGGUCUUCUUUAGACCAAUGUUCUGUUGAAACAUGUUGCAUGUUCCCCCAAAAUAAAUCACUUCAUUAUACUUAUAAAUUAUUGUUUGCCAACUCAUUAUUAGUUCUAUCAUAAUUAACUUCUACACAGCACAAACAAUACAUAUCAAACUCCACUGUUUUAAUCUAAAAAUAAUUAUUAUUUUAGUGUAACAUGCAACACAAACUGGUCAUUGAUAAUGUGAGUGAUAGACUACUAAUAAUGAAUUUGAGUUUUCUCUCUGCUAAUUAAAAUACUGUUGGAGCUUAAUUUGACAAAAAUUCAGAAUUGUAAAAAUAUCUUGUAGACUUGUGAAAUCAGGUUACUUUCACAUGCUUAAUAUUCCAACUUGUGAAAAAUUAAUCUCGAGCACAGUGUUAUGUAUAUUGUUGUGUGUCAAAGUGACUUUUGUAUUUGUGAAUAAAGUGAUAGUUUUGAAAAUGUA